AGGCUGUCAUUCCAGCCCUGCAUCCCUAAGCUGGUCUGCAGCACUCUCUGGGGAGUAUCUGGAGGUCUGCAUAGACCAACCUGACCAGCAGAAACCUCUUGAACUGAUGAGAGUUUCCUUUCUGUUGCAUCGUGUUAGCUCAGAGCUUUGACCCUUCCUCUGUUCCUUUCCAGAUUUUGUUUUCAGGGUAGCUGCCCACAGGGUUGGUGAUGUGUGGCUCACAGUGGUUCCUGAUCAAAAAAUGUGGACAUUGAAGCCAAAAGAGUUUCAGACUGAACUGCACAAGCGUUUAUUGGCUCCUUUAGGACUGUGCUACAGCCUGCAGCGAGUACCCAUGAGCACAGCUAGCUGAUCCUGCCACCAGCAUCCUGUCCAGCUGGGGUGAUCGCAGCCACGGCAAACAAACUGCACGCAGAUUCAUUUCACUCUCAUUUUUGCAGCUCAAGCCAACUGGGAAUGUAAAACCACACUGACCAAGGGAGGGCAGGGAAAUUGCCAGUGAAUGCAGAAAGAAGAAAAGGAAGGAAAAUGUGGAAAGCAGGCGUUUAUAGAGUGUUGCUGAAGACCUUCUCCCAGGCUAAAAUGAGGAUCAGUUCCAGGUUUGCAGUCAUAUCAACAGUAGGAUGGUGAUUUAUUUCUAAGGUUCUGUUAUCUAUACCAGCAUAUUGUCUGCAUGAGGCAGUGUUUGGCGAGUGGUGCUGAGCUUACAGCCCCAAAAAGCCACUCCUGAAUAUUUGGUUAUCUGCAGCCAGCAUGUGCUGAUACUAGGAAAUGUUUGGAGCAGAGGUUACAUUUUGAAAUUAUGAAGUGCUGGCUUUGGUGCCAAGCUUAAGAGCUGAAUGGAGCUCCCAGGAAAUCUUGUACAAUUGAGCUGACCUCAGCAGACCUGCCCAAUAGAGCAGAACUGGGCUGUUUGCAUCUGCUGUGUGAUGUUCUUGGAGUCCCCCAGAUGAGAGGUGCUAUGGAGGCUUUAAAUGGUUGCUACCAUGCAUCAGUGGCUACAAAGCAUUAGUUACGGGCUUGGCUGUCCUGUUUUGGGGGACACUGCAUGGCUUUUGAGAGUCCGAUGUUGGUGAAAACACACUGGAUUGAGGAGUGGUGCUUCUGCUUUUCCCAAUCCCCUGUAAAAAUCUUCCCAGCAAAGAACGGGCCAUAAAUGUGUCAGAAAGUCAACCCAAGUGAAGAGAUUACCAUGGGUAAUCGCAAAGCAUGAUUUCAUUAGAGGAUUUCUUUACACAUGGGCAUGGACAUAAGAGUAACCCGAGCCACGGGAACCGUGUGUUUCUGAAGUAGGGCAUAGUGGCAGGAGACUUAUUAAUAUUCUGGAGAGAUACAUUGCAGAGAAGAUCCAGAAGACAACAUGGUCUAGUGGAAGGUGUCUCUGCCCAUGGCAGAAGGGUGGAACUGCAUGAUCUUUCAGGUCUCUACUCAAACCCUUCUGUGAUUCUAAGCAUCUGCAAAGACAGAAGCAGAAGGUUCAGCAGAGCCAGCCGUGGCUCAGUCCCUCCAGGUAAGAUGUUGUGGAUAAAGAAGCUCCUGAUGAGAGCCUUCCACCUGCCACUGCUUCUGCCCUCCCAGCUCUCACUGAACCACACUGCCCCUGUAGCAGGUGCCUCUUUUUCC